CUAUGGUCAGGACGUGACAGGAGUAUUACCACUACACCAAGUCUCCGCACAGGAAAUACUAAUAUUAAUGGUUGAUGGCAGUCGGUAACCAAAUCAUAGAUUGCCGUCUCCCUGUCCAUAGACUGCUUUCAAGCCUAUGGACCUAGUCAAGGUGGACAAAAAGGAGAUGGCCACGGGUCAACAACAAGAAAGAAUGGAAGAGGAAAACAAUUUAUAAGCCACGGCUACAAGACAGCUCAUCCAAGAGCGACGUCGAUCACCUCCUUGACCCAAGACUGCCAGCGUCCGUCCACUCAGGACAGCUUGUCCGAGAGCGACGUCGAUCGCCGUGUGACCCCAGACCGCCACCAUCUGUCCAUUCAAGUAUGGCUUGGCCAGGAUCGAACAACCAACCAUAUGACUUCAAAACAAAAACUCUUACCACAAGACUACAGGGGAGACAACGCAGGUGGAGACAACACAGAUGGACAAGGAAGGGACAUCAUCAAUCAAGUCGGAGGACAAGGAGGGGGAGAAAAGGCUAAAUGCAAACAUUACUGAAGAUGAGUCUCUGAUCUCAAUACUCUGCUAUGCUCUAAGACACACAACCACCAAGAUAGCUCUCAGUGAUUUAUUGGACAUUAUACAGUACAUCUCCAUUGUCCAGAACUGACAAAAUGUGUUCCCAACAGUCACUACUAGUUUAUUAAGUAUUUUGACUGUAAUGACACUUUUGAAAUGCACUAUAUUUGUUCAACAUGCCAGUAUUUAUUUGGCAGUGAAGUGCCAGAUCAUUGCUCAUCAUGUGUUUGCCUCCCUGGGGAUAUGCCGUCUCUUGUCAAGAGUGGAUCAGUGUUCAUGAAAUUGUCAAUCAAAAAACAACUAGAGGAAAAGUUAUUAGACUGCAAAUUCUGCGAAGCGUUAGAAUAUAAGUAUUCUAGGUCCAAUAGCAGCCCAGAUAAUAUAGAUGACAUUAAUGAUGGUGCACUAUACAAGUCAAUAGAUGCCCUUAAUGACACUGAUUUCAUUCGUAUUUCACAUGUGGAUGGGGUUCCAAUAUUCAAGCCCUCUCCCUUUCACAUCUAGCCCCUACAAGUCACAGUUUAUGAAUUUCCCCCGAACCUAAGAGCAAAGCACAUUAUUCUUGUGGGGUUGUGGUUUGGGUCAAAUAAAUUAAUUAUUUCCUUCAGUCGUUUGUGGAUUAGUGUCUUUCACUUGAGGGCGAAGGCUUGACAUGCCAGUUGAGAAGGACACCCACAAAUGUAUGUGUGUACAGUUUACUAUGUAUUUGUGAUUCCCCUGCUCGCUGCAAAGUACAGAAUAUCAAACAAUUCAAUGGUGAACAUGGGUGCAACUGGUGCUAUCACAGAGGAGAAGUGGUAGAAAAAGGGUAAUGGGUUCACUGGAGUGUAUCCGUUUGAGAGUGAGCCAAUGCCACUCACAGACACUAAACACCGAAUAAAGGUUGCCUUGGUGGUAGAGUCAGGGAACAUCAUACAUGGUGUUAAGGGCCCAUCUCCUUUAAUGUUCCUUACUGUUUUCAACAUGAUUGCAGGGUUUGCUUUUGAUUACAUGCAUGGCAUCUUACUUGGGUUAUGUUGGCAAAUGACUACACUGUGGUUUGAGUCCAAAUAUCACCCUGAGUCCUGGUACAUUGGAAGAGAAAUAGAGUGCAUAAACAAAAGAUCGCUUGCCAUAAAACCAACACGCUCAAUUAAUUUACUCAAAUAUUGGAAAGCCACAGAGUUCUGACACUUCCUGCUGUUCUAUAGCCUCCCCUGUUUUAAUGGGAUUUUACCCAGGCAGUACUUACACCAUUUAGUGCUACUGGUGCAGGGUACCUAUUGUCUUCCGAAAGACACGGUUACCUCUCAUAACAUUGAUAUGACUGAGAUGUUCUUUCGAGAAUUUGUUAUUAGGUUUGAACAAUUGUAUGGGAAAUGUCAUGUCAGCUACAAUGUCCAUAUACAUUUGCAUGCACCUACAUGUGUCUGAAACUGGGGGCCUUUGUGGGCUCAAAGUGCAUUCAUCUUUGAAAGUAGUAAUGGGAGACUUGUGGAAAUGUUCACCAUCUACCGACACAUCCCGAGACUACUCACUAUUACAUUCAGCACAGAUUCAAAUCAAGCUAGCAAAAGGUUUGUUGAAGAAAUGUUAAGGGGCUACAGAAUCGCCAAUAAAUGUGAAAAAAAAGAAGAGUGUAUUUUUACUAGGGUAUCCUGUUGCACGGAGCCCUACAUCAAGGGAGGCUGUUCUCCUCGGAGAGUCAGACGUUACUUACAAAGAACCAUGUCAAUUUCACCAUAGAACGAUUGUUAUUGGGAAUCACAUUCAUUCCAAAACAGCAAAUACCUUAUAGAAACGAGUAAACCAUGUAGUGGUCACCCAACAUGGGUCACUGGGGAUGGUCAGUUCUUUUGUUGACGUUGGCAGUGAAGUGGACUACGCUUUUAUAGACCCAGUGAUGACAACAAGUUGCACAGUAAGAGACCUAGAGACAGGAGGCACUGCCUCUGGGAUUCUUAAAGAGAUUGGCAUUUCAAAUGAGGUUCAGUUAAUCAAAUGCACAGACAUCUGUACCACCUGUGUUCAUCUGGAAGACAUCCCAGAUGUACAAAGGAAUUACAUCUGUUUACAGCCCAACAAAUGGGAGGUAAACUGAGAAAGGGUUGAACCGCUUAACGUAACUGUAUACAACGUUUUUUACAUUGUGUUUAUUUAUUCAGAGUAUGUAUGAAUGAAGGUGAUUCUUAAACUGGCAGCAUGAUAUAUAAAUGCAUUAUUACACUGACAUUACAUUGACUGAACUGUGGGCCUACUGAAACCAUUAUCAUUUGCAUUGGUAUCUAUCAAAUAAAUAUAGCAUACACUAUA